UAAAUUUUGGACUUUAGUAUGGCAUGUACUUAAGUUUAAAUAUGGUAUUUGUAUACAAGUACUAGUGAAAAUACUUGAUAAAUUUUUAAAUAUUAUAUUAACUUAGUGACUUGGUUAAAUUAGUAACUGAGUGACUAAAUGUGACACCUAUUGCUUGGGCUAUCGGUUUAAAAUGAGUGAUGAGCGUUACAAUUAAAGCAUGCUAACAUUCUAUAACAUAAAUAAAAUAAAAUCCAUUUAAGAUAAAUAUAAAAAGUCAC
rnacentral:lncRNA from 1 species